rnacentral:rRNA from 1 species
UACAGAGGUCCCAAGCGUUGUUCGGAUUCACUGGGCGUAAAGGGUGCGUAGGCGGGUCUUUAAGUCAGGGGGGAAAUCCUGGAGCUCAACUCCAGAACUGCCUUUGAUACUGAAGAUCUUGAGUUCGGGAGAGGUGAGUGGAACUGCGAGUGUAGAGGUGAAAUUCGUAGAUAUUCGCAAGAACACCAGUGGCGAAGGCGGCUCACUGGCCCGAUACUGACGCUGAGGCACGAAAGCGUGGGGAGCAAACAGG